UGUACAAUAUAUCACAGCAGCCGGAAGGCAAUGCAUAAUACAUACAUUCAAUAUUUGAAUACUUUGUAUACAUUUUGAACACAUCAUUUAGAGGGGAUAAACUACGGCGGAGUAAAGCAAAAACUGAGAAAAAGAUUUCUUGGAAUGAUAUUUGCUGACUUUUGUUUGUUGCCUGCAAUUGAAAUUGAAACUCAGCGCAUUCAUAAUAUAUAUGUAUAUUAUAAUAUAUAUGUAUAUUAGUGGCAAUUGGCGAUGUUGGAUCAGUUUGCCAGUUGCCUUAAAGCUGAUAACAACGCGCCGGAGAUUUCGAAUUUGUUGCUACAACAUGUGUGAAAGCCGUGAAAUUUUAUUGCAUAAGACCGCAGAGUAUGAGGGGGAGCAGGAGCAGCCCGAGGUGAUCAUUGAUGUUGGCCAGUUGGACGAUGAUAGUGAGGCGAUCUUGCCGCUGACAGAAGAUUCAGAUGCGAAAAGAUUCUACACGUGCAAAGCGAAUAACUUCCUCAAGUCGCUAAGCUGGUCCCAGUUGGGCAUUCUGUUUUGCGUCUUAUACAAUUGUUUUAUUGUUGUCAUAUUGCUAAUAUCGUUCAUACACUCCAGGCUAGAAAAUUAAAUAUGCUUACCAUUGCACAUAA